CGGUCGAAGUAUUUACUUGGUUAUCCUACCUCGUAAAACUAUAACUAACUCCUUUGUGUGAAAUUUCCUUCGCAGCAGAUUGACCUUCCAACUGGCCAAUGGAAUACGAAUUGUUAAAUGAAUCACCUAAAUCUUGCUGAAAUAUAGGUACCACGGAAAUUUCUAGCAAGAGAACAAGUUAUAGUCGAAAUAUUCCACAAUAUUUGAACUGGUUAAAAAAAAAUUUACAGUAGUCCACGGCUCACAGAAACGAGGCUUGCUACUCCGCGAAUUGACAGUUGUCGGUGACGUCAGAGAAAUCGUUGAGAUAAACAAAUGGAUUUCUCGAAUGAUGUUAAUUGACAAUAUUUGAGCUCUUACAGUGAAAAAAAUAAUAUGCAACGAUUUAUGACGUAAAUUACGCCAUAAUUACUCUAGACACAGUGGAUAAUCAGUGCAUCUUUGUGAUUAUUAGCGAAAAUCAGGAAUUUGGCUGCAUGCCAUAGUAAACAUAUCUCAUCGUAAUUUCCUGUUACCAGAAAAAGUUUUGGACGUCGGCAUAGCUUCCUUGUGAUCCAUCAGGUGCCGAUGAUUCGUUAGCAGCAAACAAUAAAUGAUUCAUCUAAUUGUUUUCACCGACGAUUUCUAUGACGCGCACUCGUCAAAUGUUUACACUCUAACGAGCUAGCCUAGUAUAUGUAAGCCGUGCAGUAGUCCAGAGCUAAACGUAAACAUUCCACUUUGACAGCUUUCAACACGUAAGCGUGUUGAAGUGUGAGUUCUUCUCCUCUUCACUGGGUGAAGAAGGAAAAUAGAACAACUUAUGAAAAGGGCAUAGAUAACGAAGUGCUGAAACUUAUUUGAUAAUGUUUCAAAUUAGUUAUCAGCCAAACGGUUAUCAAACUUUCAAAUAAAAUUCCAUCUUUCGUUUCAAAGUUACAUCUUUCGUUUCAAAAUGAAUUUUGUCAUUUUGAAGAGUAACGAGGGGGUAUUGUAACCGCUGGUUACAAUAUUGAUUGUUGGCUUUGCCAAAAUGAAAAAAAAUACUCUAGGGUUGCUCAAUUAGUUCCACCAAUCCAUCUUAAGUCCUACCCUAGCUAUGCAGUACUGUCAACUGUGUGAGUGGUAGUCCUCCAAGUCUGACGUUUACGUCUGGGACGGAGGAGUCACUCCUGCAGGAACACUCUCAGUAGGGUACUCAAUCACAACGGUGUGAUCAAGUAAUGUCGCGCAACAUGUCAUUCAUCGCUGUUGCAGUCAUGGGAAGGGCUGCCAAAAGUGGACAAGGUAAAUGUCAGAUCGGAUGACAUCGCGAAAAUUUAAGUUUACUCGGUAUCAUCCGGCCUUAGCCACACUCAGCUACCGCCAAGAACAUUCUUUCUGCUCCCAACGCCCGAAGAAAUCAGAAGUGCGCGCGGUUUUACUGAAAUUAAUAUCAGAUUAGCAGAUUAAAAAUGAGGCGAAUAUACAUAGUGAUAAUUAAAUCGGGUCAAGUGAAUUAAAAGGUGUUAGUACGUGUUCCCAAUACGAAAAGCAUGACAUGGAAAGCACGGAACAUACAAUUUAAAAAAGAGUCAAAAAGGUAAAAUUCUAAAAUGAAACGGGUAAAACGUUGGUGUAGGUUCAGUUGUAAAAACACGUGACACAUACGCUAAUUUCUACUGGGCAGGUCCCCAGUGGACCUUUUUGUUUCCAGCUUCGGACUUCGUCCGAAGAAUAUUUUCACAGGAGAGAUUCCUCGACCGCCUACUACGCAGCGGACAGAUCACGAUCGGGAGUGCCGUGAGUCCCUGCAACCAGAACCGAAGGUUGGACGUGCUAGACAAUCCGUCACCAUAUUGUCGUCAGCAUCUUCAACAAAGAUCGGUAAGCAGUUCGUUUCCGGUCAAUACCACAACCACGAUAAUCGACACCCCGGAAGGAUCGAAGCGUCCACUAUAAGCGGUCACAGAUCCGCCAUUGCUGUUCUCGUCGGCUAUACGCUAUGCCGCCAUCGCACACCCUACACCAACAAAUAAAAUCCGCAAGUAGAAAUAGGAUAAUGUGACGUCACUUAGAUUUAAGGACAUGUGUUAGGGUAAAAUAAAUUGUACAUGUAAUUAAGAAUUGAGCUUCGUUCAAGAUUAACAUUGUCCGUAUAUUUACACCACAAUUUGAUUCGAGCUCCGGACUCGAAAGGAGUCGUCAGCCCUCGUCUUCAGGUGUUCUAUUUGAAAGAAGGUUCAAGGUUUCGCUGGUGUGAUCUGUUAUGUAUAGCGCGUACCCUUUGGGUCUUCACCUUGGUUGCCUGCAGCAAUGAAUGGUCCGUUUUCCCGUAGUUCCCAACGUGAAUGAGUCCCGUGGUGAGUAUGUGUACGCACAAAACGAGUACCAGCAGAAUUCCCCUCCAACCACCCACUGAACUAGUCUAGAGGUUACAGUGUCUUCUUCUGAAAACGAUCGCUGCUUUUUCGGUUUC